rnacentral:rRNA from 1 species
UACAGAGGUCCCAAGCGUUGUUCGGAUUCAUUGGCGUAAAGGGUGCGUAGGUGGCGCCGUAAGUCAGGUGUGAAUUUCGGAGCUUAACUCCGAAACUGCAUUUGAUACUGCGGUGCUUGAGGACUGGAGAGGAGACUGGAAUUUACGGUGUAGCAGUGAAAUGCGUAGAGAUCGUAAGGAAGACCAGUGGCGAAGGCGGGUCUCUGGACAGUUCCUGACACUGAGGCACGAAGGCCAGGGGAGCAAACGGG